rnacentral:piRNA from 1 species
UGUUGGAAACAUGACCAUGAAGUCCAC